rnacentral:tRNA from 1 species
GCCUGGGUGGCUCAGUAGGUUGAGCAUCUGUCUUCAGCUCACGUCAUGAUCUCACGGUCCGUGGGUUCGAGCCCCGCAUCGGGCU